GACAGAGGGUGCAAACGUUGUUCGGAAUUACUGGGCGUAAAGCGCGUGUAGGCGGCCAUCUAAGUCGGGCGUGAAAUCCCACGGCUCAACCGUGGAAGUGCACUCGAAACUGGAUGGCUAGAGUCCUGGAGAGGAAGGUGGAAUGCUUGGUGUAGAGGUGAAAUUCGUAGAUAUCAAGCGGAACACCGGUGGCGAAGGCGGCCUUCUGAACAGUGACUGACGCUGAGACGCGAAAGCGUGGGGAGCAAACAGG
rnacentral:rRNA from 1 species